UAGUAGCGGNGCGGGACGGGUGAGUAACACGUGGGUAACCUACCUAUAAGACUGGGAUAACUUGGGAAACCGGAGCUAAUACCGGAUAAUAUUUCGAACCGCAUGGUUCGAUAGUGAAAGGUGGUUUUGCUAUCACUUAUAGAUGGACCCGCGCCGUAUUAGCUAGUUGGUAAGGUAACGGCUUACCAAGGCGACGAUACGUAGCCGACCUGAGAGGGUGAUCGGCCACACUGGAACUGAGACACGGUCCAGACUCCUACGGGAGGCAGCAGCG
rnacentral:rRNA from 1 species